rnacentral:tRNA from 1 species
UAUAUUUUAGUGUAUGAUGCACAAUAACUUUUGAAAUUAUUAGAUAUAGUUUAAUUCUAUAAAGUAUAA